CGUGCUCACCUGGCGCGGUCUGCGCCGCUGGGCGUCCGGAGGCCCCUCCCCCGGGCGAGGCCCGGGGCUUCGGGAUGGUCUCACUGUCGCUCCCUCAGGUGAGGGAAGCUAGGGCUGGCGGUCGUGCUAGCUGUGCCGCCGCCUCCGCCUCCCCCCCACCCCCCACGCCACUCCCGGGGCAGAGCCGAUGAGAGCCCUUCAGGCCGUGCCCACCGGUCUCAUUAGCUCCCCUGGUUCGACUACAGCUGCCUCUGUCGGUGCCGUUCCAAGUGCCGGUGUGUGAGGACACGCGUUGGCAGCAGAAUGUCCCUGCGGAGGAUGCAUGCUCUGCUGGUGUGCCGUCAGCAGAGGAUUGAUUGCAGGGCGCUCCGUCUGCCUCCCAGACGCCACCAGUCAUUUCCCCUGGGAAAGGAGGAAAGGCGGCCAGGUGGCAUGAGUGACUAGAAGUGUUAGGUCAGCAGUGGACACAGUCCUUAACCUGGAUUCCAAGCUUUAAAGGGUCUGUGAAGUCCCUGAGAUUGAAUGGUAUGUGGGGGGGGGGGGGGGGGAGUGCGUGCACACGCGCACAUUCUGCAGUAGAUGUUGUUGGUUCUUGACCAGAGCCCUGUAACCCACCCCCAAGGGCUGCCCUGAGUGUUCCUGCCCACCCACUCCUUCGCUGAACCCUCCUUGCCCUAAAGGGAGUUCCUGGCCAGAGAGACUACACCUGCCCCCCACCAGGGGAGAUGACUGACUCAGGGGCACAGAGGCCCCUUGCCUCCAGGUGGGAACAGCUCUAGUGCAGUUCAUGCUCCAGGCAUCUUGGGAGAUCAGGCAGAGCUAGUCUCCAGCUGAGUCACUUCUGGCUGAGCAUUUGUCCCCUGCCCAAGCCUGCUCUCCCCUCGCCCGUUCUUGGAGCCCUCCCUCCAUAAAUUACUUCUACAAGAGCCCUUGUCUCCGCCUCAGCUUCCAGGAACUUGACAUGAUUCAGAGUUCCUGAGCUCUCAUCAGAUCCUCAAAGUGGUUUAUGAUCCCGUAGUGGGUUGGAUGGCGGCUCCAUGAAAUCUGUGUCACCUUAUUCAGGAAAAGGGUCUUUGCAGAUAUAAUUAAGGAUCUUGAGAGGAGAGCAUCCUGGAUUAGCCAGCUGGGCCCUAAAUCCAAUGACAAGUGUCCUUAAAGAGACACACAGAGGAGACGGACACACAGGAGGAGGCCACGUGAAGAUGGAGGGAGGCAGAGACCGUAGCGGUGCAGCCGCGAAGCUGAGGAACACCUGGAGCCAGCAGCAGCUGGAAGACUCCAGAAAGGCUCCUCUCUAAGCCUGACUCUGGCCUCCAGAACUGUGAGAGAAUAAAUGUCUUGUUUUAAACCA